CGCGUAGGCGGUUAAGUGAGUGUGAUGUGAAAGCCCCGGGCUCAACCUGGGAAGUGCAUCGCAAACGACUUAACUGGAGUAGUUGAGAGGGUGGCGGAAUUUCCGGUGUAGCGGUGAAAUGCGUAGAGAUCGGAAGGAACGUCAAUGGCGAAGGCAGCCAUCUGGCAACAUACUGACGCUGAGGCGCGAAAGCGUGGGAGCGAACA
rnacentral:rRNA from 1 species